rnacentral:rRNA from 1 species
CCUACGGGUGGCUGCAGUGAGGAAUAUUGGUCAAUGGGCGAGAGCCUGAACCAGCCAAGUCGCGUGAAGGAUGACGGCCCUACGGGUUGUAAACUUCUUUUGUCAGGGAGCAAUUGAGUCCACGUGUGGUCUUAGCGAGAGUACCUGAAGAAAAAGCAUCGGCUAACUCCGUGCCAGCAGCCGCGGUAAUACGGAGGAUGCGAGCGUUAUCCGGAUUUAUUGGGUUUAAAGGGUGCGUAGGCGGAAUAUCAAGUCAGCGGUAAAAUGUCCGGGCUCAACCCGGGCCGGCCGUUGAAACUGGGGAUCUUGAGUGGGCGAGAAGUAUGCGGAAUGCGUGGUGUAGCGGUGAAAUGCAUAGAUAUCACGCAGAACUCCGAUUGCGAAGGCAGCAUACCGGCGCCCGACUGACGCUGAGGCACGAAAGCGUGGGGAUCGAACAGGAUUAGAUACCCCUGUAGUC